rnacentral:misc_RNA from 1 species
UCCGGCUUAUCACCGGCGGUUUCUUUAGAGUGCCCAACUAAAUGAUGGCAACUAAAGACGAGGGUUGCGCUCGUUGCGGGACUUAACCCAACAUUUCACAACACGAGCUGACGACAGCCAUGCACCACCUGUGUAGCACCCUCGAAGGCGACUCCGUUUCGGGAGCUUGCAGCUACAUGUCAAGUCCUGGUAAGGUUCUUCGCGUUGCAUCGAGUUAAGCCACAUGCUCCACCGCUUGUGCGGGCCCCCGCCAAUUCCUUUGAGUUUCAAUCUUGCGAUCGUAGUCCCCAGGCGGUUCACUUAAUGCGUUAGCUGCGGCACCGAGAAACCCCGACACCUAGUGAACAUCGUUUAUGGCCAAGACUAC